rnacentral:rRNA from 1 species
UAAGCAAUCUGCCCUUCUCUUUGGAAUAAGCGUUGGAAACGACGUCUAAUGCCGAAUACGACCUCCUUUCGCAUGAUCGGAGGUGGAAAGCUCCGGCGGAGAAGGAUGAGCUCGCGGCCUAUCAGCUAGUUGGUGUGGGUAAUGGCCCACCAAGGCGACGACGGGUAGCCGGCCUGAGAGGGCGACCGGCCACACUGGGACUGAGACACGGUCCAGACUCCUACGGGAGCAGCAGG